GACGAACGCUGGCGGCGUGCUUAACACAUGCAAGUCGAACGAAGUGGCGAACGGGUGAGUAACGCGUAAUCAACCUGCCCUUCAGAGGGGGACAACAGUUGGAACCGACUGCUAAUCCCGCAUAGUGAAGGAGGGGUUUGUGUCUGAUUGGCUCGUUGGAGGGGUAACGGCCCACCAAGGCGAUGGUCAGUCGGCGGUCUGAGAGGGUGAACCGCCACAUUGGGACUGGGACACGGGCCAGACUCCUACGGGAGGCAGCAGUGGGGAAACUUCCGCAAUGGACGAAAGUCUGACGGAGCAACGCCGGGUGAGUGAUGACGGCCUUCGGGUUGUAAAGCUCUGUUAAUCGGGACGCGGUACCGGAAUAGAAAGCCACGGCUAACUACGUGCCAGCAGCCGCGGUAAUUC
rnacentral:rRNA from 1 species